GAUGAAGAACGCAGCGAAAUGCGAUAAGUAGUGUGAAUUGCAGAAUUCAGUGAAUCAUCGAAUCUUUGAAUGCACAUUGCGCCCUAUAGUAUUCUGUAGGGCAUGCAUGUUCGAGCGUCAUUUGUACCUUCAAGCUUUGCUUGGUGUUGGGUGUUUGUCCUCUCCCUGGUGUUUGGACUCGCCUUAAAACAAUUGGCAGCCAGUGUUUUGGUAUUGAAGCGCAGCACAAUUUGCGAUUCUGGCCUUAAAAUACUAGCGUCCAUAAGUACAUUCUCACUUUUGACCUCGGAUCAUGUAGGGAUACCCGCUGAACUUAAGCAUAUCAAUAAGCGGAGGA
rnacentral:misc_RNA from 1 species